GGAGAGAUGGCUGAGCUGGUCUAAGGCGCACGACUGGAAAUCGUGUGUACGUUAAUAGCGUACCGAGGGUUCGAAUCCCUCUCUCUCCGCCA
rnacentral:tRNA from 3 species